rnacentral:lncRNA from 1 species
CCAGAUCUUCGGGCUUCAAUUCUUCACCGGUGAAAGCUAUUUUGCUCUAAUUUUUCGUAGCCGACGGAGGCGACAGAAUCCGGUGAAGCAUUAUUACCAAAAGCUUUUAUUGAUUGUGGAGCUAGGGAUCUAAUAGUUCGGCUCAGCUAGGGUUCUAUCUGAGUCGUCGGGGUGUUAUCUGAGUUCCAAACUCUGCUGCCGUCUUGAUUGUGUACGUGCGAGAGAGAUGGAGAAAUGUUUCGAUUAUUUAGGUCUGGUAUUCGGUUAACCGAACUGAACGACCAGUUUAACUUUUAAGUCGGCAAAGAUCCUGACGUAGGAAAAUGUUUAGAGUAGCGCAUAGUAGCAAAGGCAGCAGAAAAUGACGAACUCCUGUUACCCGGUAAACAGUUAUCGAUGGAGUGAGUUGGC